rnacentral:sRNA from 1 species
GCCAAAAUUUACUUCUUUGCUGCUGUGAACAUUUCUGAAAAAACAAAAAAACCUAGAUCAUUGUAUGCUUGUGUGAAUGUCUUGUGUGGUUUAGAUUCAUUGGCUUAGCUGCUGGGUCUGAGAUAUGCCUGUCUUUGUCCUGUGGCCCCAAGCUCCAUUGAUAUCUUGAUGAUGGGGUAUACCUGAGAGGACAGCGGGGAGGUGAGAACAAUGAAGUAGCUUCGAGAGACUUCCAGGCAUUUUUGUGAAGGACCCCAGCAUCUGGCUAAAACACAGUUCCAAGUUCGGAGUUGCAAUGUGUAGGCUGGCACUAACCCUAAAGUGCUCCAGUGAGUCACCCAGGGAAUGACGAGGUGGCGAGUGAGGAUGAAGCCAUAGUAAAGCGGCUUCGUCGGGAGGAAACGCACAUCUGUGAGAAAUGCUGUGCGGAGUUCUUCAGCAUCUCUGAGUUCCUGGAACAUAAGAAAAAUUGCACUAAAAAUCCACCUGUCCUCAUCAUGAAUGACAGCGAGGGACCGGUGCCUUCAGAAGACUUCUCCGGAGCUGUACUGAGCCACCAGCCCGCCAGUCCCAGCAGUAAGGACGGUCACAGGGAGAAUGGCGGCA